AGUCUUCCAGCUACUAAGGCUGUUUUCUCAAACUGUACCUUCUGCAACAGGGAUCACAUUGGUCUAUGGUCUCACUGGACCCCUGGUUAGGUGAGUUCAAGUCAAGUCUCCAUCAUCUGAUCGCAACAGCCACUGCUCUGAAAAUGAACCCAGGUGGCAGUUCUGAUCUAGAGAUCAGCAUAAGCACAGCAACAUACCCUAAGGAGAUGGAUAGUGACUUUUCCCCAGUACUCUGUCAUCCUGUUAAAUGGUCAUUUGUCCCUCUAGGCUUGAAGUAAGUUGCAGGGUCCUUUCUGCAAAGUUUCUGGGUCUGGCAACCAGCCUAGGUCUGGGAACUGGAUGAGAGGUUAGGAAUUCCCACUCUGGUGAGGCAAGUUCAGUCCCUGCCCCGCAGAGGUAGCAUUUUUCUCCCUGUUGUAAGGAAGUAACUUAGUAAACUGCCCGUCCAGUUCAUUUGAAGAAUCUGGUGAUCAAUUAGCCAUUGAUUUCCAUAGAUCCCUGCAUGUUCUCCAUCCUUGCGGCUUAUUACGGUAAUUGGAUUUACCUUGUCUCUGAUGGAAACCAGAGGCCACAGAAACCAAUUUCCUUGCGGCAUCAACACUGUUAUUUCUGACCUUCAGAGAGUCACCUCAAAGCUAUUUAAUGACCCCGCUGCCUCAUUUACCAAUGCAUUUUCCCUGCCUUGGUGGGUCCUCCUAGGACGAGUGGGGAGGUGAGAGUUGAAUGGGCUGGAGUAUUUGAUCCAUUCCAGCAUUCUCGUUUCCCUGAGCCUCUAGACUCCUCCUCCUACUGCCUUGCUUCUCAAAGUGCAGUUCACAGACCAGCAGCCUCUUGGUGUCACCUGAGAUCACAUUAGAAUCUCAGGCUGUAAAUCAACUAUAUUCCAGUAAAAAGGAAGGAAGGAAGGAGGAAAGAAAGGGAAGGAAGGAAAAGAAAGGAAGGAAGACAGACAGAGAAAGAAAGAAAGAAAGAAAGAAAGAAAGAAAGAAAGAAAGAAAGAAAGAAAGGGAGGAAGGAAGGAAGAAAGAAAGGAAGGAAGGAAGAAAGGAAGGAAGGAAGGAAGGAAGAGAAAAAAUCACUCUCAGGCUGUCCUAGACCUUCCAAUCAGAAUCUGCACCUUGACAAAAUCUCCAAGCAAUUCAUAAGCCCAUUAAAAUGUGUUUUAUAGCAGUGAUUCCCAAACUUUAACAGGCAUCUAAUUCACUUUUGAAAGGACAAAUUCCCAGGCUUCAACUCCAGAGUUUCUGAUUCUGUAAAUCUGGGGUGAGAUUCAAGAAUUUCCAUUUCUAACACCUUUCCAGUUGAUGCUGAUGGUACCAGGAGAUGUGGUCACCACUCUGAAUGAACCACUGUUCUACUUUAUGCUAGAGAAUUUACAGAAUUUUGACCUAAAUAACCAUAGGCCAUCAUAGACUCUAGGCUCUAAUUAGCCAGUCUAACACAAUCAACAACAUUCCCUGGCUUGACCCCAUCCUCAGCCUGAUGGAGUCUUCCUAACUCCCUCACGUGUGAUCCUCCAGCUUCUCCAGCGUCCAUGUGUCAAGAGCUUGUAAAUCAUUUGGUUUAUGACUGGCUAUUUUAUCCUGGAGCAGGACUUUUCCAUUUCUCUUUCUAGACUACAUUGAAAUCUAAUUCUUGUUACCAGGCUGGAGGCAAAGAAGAUACUGUGGACCUGAGGAGUAUAGGCACCACCUAGCAAGGCAACCACUCCAGCAGUAGUCACCAAAAAUGCUGUUUUGCUGAAAGACAGCUCAGGAAAAUUUAGGGCUCAAAGUUCUCAGCUUUAUCCUUGUCCCACCAGUGCCUCACAUAAGCAAUAGAGAUCUAGAAAUGCUGAACUUGUAGCUGGCACUUUAAUUCUGAAACACUUGCAAUGAGGCUCAGGGCUUGAGUGUUAACUGUAAGGUCCUCAAGAUAGAUUUCUUCAAGCUUACCAUGAAGGCUCAAUUCUCUACAGGUGUUCAUAUAUAUAUUCAUACUCUUACCUUUUUACUUAUAUAUGCACUUCAGAGCUGUAAGAAGAAAGUAGUUGACUCUAGAAUCUUUAAAAUCACUUCCUUUUUAACUUAUUUAUUUAUAUUUAUUUAUUUUUGCUUUUUACAGCUGCACCAUGGCAUAUGGAGGGUCCCAGGCUAGGCGUCCAAUUGGAGCUGUAGACACCAGCCCAUCAGAUCUGAGUUGUGUCUGUGACCGACACCACUGCUCACGGCAACGCCAGACUCUUAACCCACUGAGCGAGGCCAGGGAUCGAAACUGCAACCUCAAAGUUCCUCGUCUGGUUCAUUUCUGCUGUGCCACAACGGGAACUCCUAAAAUCACUUCCUUUGACAGAGCACCUAAGUGCCACAGCCUCUUGAUCUCCCUGUGUCUUGCCCUCCUCUUACUCUUCAUCCCACACUCUGCCCACUAACAUGAAUAAUUGUGAUGCUCCUGAAGGCACUGAUUUUACCAGUGUCCAUUUCCAUUCUCUGAACCUCCACAUCCCCCUCAAGGUUAUCUUUCCGCUCCUUAAACACGAUCAACCCAAUCCCAGAAGCACAUAUUGAGGAUCAUUUUCCUGGUGCAACUUCUAGUAUCAAUUGCUCUAUCAAGUCCGAGUACCAGAAAGAACCAGCACAUGCUCAAAUUAGGCUAGUUUUAAGAGGGAACUACUUACAAUGGUGUAGACAGAAUAUAAGGAAAUCACAAGAGAGAAGGCAGUGACCAGGAGCUAGUAGCAGCUGAGCAGUACCACCCUAUACUUAAGGAGGAGGGUCAGGUAGAGAUGCUCCAUUAAGAGAAGAAGUGACCUUCAGUCACAGGACUCAGCUUGUGGCAACAUCACAGACAGGGAGCCAAGAGACUGAACACCUUGGCCUCACUCUCUCCCCGAUCUCCAAUCUCUUGCCAAAGACUCUUAGUGGCCAAACCCAAGUGGAAGCCAGAGGCAAGGGAGCCAUUGAUUAUGGUCAACCAAAUCAGCCUCCUGGGUGGAGAGUGGAUCUGGAGGGGAAAACGCAAGGUCUCUGGCAUGAUAGGAAAGGCUCUGAGUCUAGUUCUAAACAAAUGUGCUCGUGGCAUCUAAGCAGAGAUGUAAAGCAGGUAACCGAGAGGCUCUGGAGAUUGGAGAAAAGUCUGGGCUGUUGUCCAAAUUUGAGAGCACAGAGAUGAGGCCAUGAAGAGAUGUAAAAAGAUGAGAUGGCUGAGAUGACCUAAGCGAGCAGUGCAGAGUGAGAAAAGAUGAAGAUCCAGGGUUGAACACGAGCAGUCCCAACAUUUGGAGGUCAAGUAGAAGAGGAAAAUCUGCAAAGAGACAGAAAUUGAGCCAGAGAGGUGGGAGAAAAACCAGGAGAGUGUGGUAGCUUGGACACCAAGAAAAAUAGUUUUUCCCGGAGAAGGAAGGUUAAAUCUAUUCAAGUCUGCAGAGAGGCCACAUGCCACGAGACCAGCAGGGGUGGGAGGGGGGGUGUCCCUGAGAUUUAGGGGUAUAGAGGUCACUGGAUACUUGGAUAAAAAUAGUGUUAAUAGACAAGUAGGGGAGGAAGCCAGUUGGGCCAGGCUGAUGAGUAAAGAGUUGCUGAAUAAGGGCAAACAAUGACUAUGCUCAAACUCUUCCAACCAGCCUGGGUGUGAAGGGGAAGAGAGGAAAAGAGUAGGACCACGAAGAAAGUCUGGGGUCCAGGAAUGGUGUUUUUAGGAACGAGAGUGACUAUAGCAUGUUUAGGUGCUGAUGAAAAGGAUCCAUUAGAGGGGAACAGAAAGGGGGGCAGGGAUAACUGGUAACACACCUUUUCUGAGAAGGCUGGAAUCCAUGGCCUGUGGAAGAGAACUGGAGGGAGGUAAGACAUCACUUCCAUUUCAUCAGAAGGGAAGUGCUGAGAAUAGGCUCAGGUGCCAUCACAGGGGCAGGUUGGGUUAUGGUGCAGGUGGCAGGUAAUUCCCACCCAAGGGCCUCUGUUUCCUUGGUGAAGUAUGGACAGAGACACCUGGGCACCAGGGAGAGAUGAGAUGGGGACUAAAGACUAGGAAAGUCUGAAGUGGUUGUUUGGAGACUGAAGGUAAAUGGACAAGAGGACAGCAGGAUCCCAGGAUUGAGGGUGACGAUGGAGAGUCUCUGCUAGGCUGGGGGAUCUUCUCCAGUUGUGUUUUACUGCCUGGAAGUAGAUGUGAAGAAGGCAUAUUGUGAUUUUUCCAGGAUUGAUUCUUGCCCCCAGUGAAAGGUGCUGAAAGGACAGAAUAGACCAGCGAGUUUAGGAUCUUGGUGAGAUAGUGAUUGACAUAAUGGACCGCAGAAUCUAAUGUGGCUUCCAAGGGGACCAAACACGGGUGUGUUGAUGGAUAAGGAAAUGUAGCGGGGCCAGGAGGCUGAGGACCUCAGGAAGGCUGGGGCACAGAGUAGGUGAGCAAGCUCACCAGCCUAGAAUGAGAGGGGGCUGCGGACAGAGGGGAGACGUGAUGGAUGGCAAAGUCCACCAUGUGAGUGAGAAUAGGCACUGGAGAUGGUGGGUAGACGAAGGAAUUGAGAGGCCAGAGUAUGGAUGAGGUCAUACAUAGGUACAAUCACAUCUUCCAGGAGGAUGGCAGGGUUGUAGCAGGAGGGCAUGCUGUGAGCUAGGAGGUGAAGCUCUUGGGAGAUGAGGGGGGUGUUCUGGCAGUGAGUGGAGGUCAAGAACACCAGAGCUUCAGAGAGCAGCCACUUUUACAGGAACAUUUGGAUUCUGCACUAGGGAAUGAUGAGUAGGCUAGUUCCACCCCUUAUCCUGGAGGUGUGAGCUGCGGAAGAACACUUAAGGGAGCUGCAAAAGAAUCAAUACUCUUUGGGUAGAGAUGAGCUUCAAUUCAGGCAAGAAAACAGAGGUUCUCCAGGAGGCUGAUGUGAGCAGAGGGAGCAGAAGUGACCAGGGGGAGGCUGCAAACUGCAUGUGUUUGGGUCACGGCUUGUAGAAAAAGUUGCCAUUAAGAGUUUCCGCUGUGGCUGCAAAGGGAUCAGUAGUGUCUAUGCAGUGCCAGGAUGCAGGUUCCAUCCCGGCCAUCACAGUGGGUUAAAGAAUCCCAUUGCCACAGCUGUAGCAUAGGUUAAAACUGUGCCUCAGAUCUGAUCCCUGGCUCCAGGACCUGUAUAUGCCAUGGGGUGG
rnacentral:lncRNA from 1 species